rnacentral:rRNA from 1 species
GGUCCUACGGGGGGCAGCAGUGGGGAAUAUUGCACAAUGGGGGAAACCCUGAUGCAGCGACGCCGCGUGAGCGAAGAAGUAUCUCGGUAUGUAAAGCUCUAUCAGCAGGGAAGAAAAUGACGGUACCUGACUAAGAAGCCCCGGCUAACUACGUGCCAGCAGCCGCGGUAAUACGUAGGGGGCAAGCGUUAUCCGGAUUUACUGGGUGUAAAGGGAGCGCAGGCGGCGCGGUAAGUCUGAUGUGAAAGCCUGGGGCUCAACCCCGGGACGGCAUUGGAAAAUGUC